rnacentral:lncRNA from 1 species
AUGAUUCUGAAGAUGAAAGAGGCCAUCAGUGAAAGGAUCAAGUUUGUCCCCGUGCCUUCCAGACCCCAGGACUGGGCUGAGGAGGAGGAAGGGAGGUCAGUGGUCCCUCCGAGACCCAGAUCUGUCAGUGGCUGCAGGAGGGCCCCUGAGAGACAAAGGAGGUCGCAAUCAGAGGGAUGCCUCAAGAGCCAUGUGGAAGACCCCACCCUCCAGGAGCUGAGGAGGGUCCAGACAGACCUCAGUAAGAGGCUGGAGGUAUUUUAUGCUCUGGGUGCCACACAGCAGGGACAGAGCAGGGAGCAAUGUCUGCCACCCAGGACAUCACUGCUAUGGCCUCCCACCAACUGCAGGGUGAGUCCCAGUAGUGCCAUCAGCAAGUUCAAGGCCUCUCUCACCCAAAACUUCAGCAUUUUGCCCAACCAGG